rnacentral:rRNA from 1 species
UACGAAGGGGGCUAGCGUUGCUCGGAAUUACUGGGCGUAAAGCGCACGUAGGCGGGUCCUUAAGUCAGGGGUGAAAUCCUGGAGCUCAACUCCAGAACUGCCUUUGAUACUGAGGAUCUCGAGUUCGGGAGAGGUGAGUGGAACUGCGAGUGUAGAGGUGAAAUUCGUAGAUAUUCGCAAGAACACCAGUGGCGAAGGCGGCUCACUGGCCCGAUACUGACGCUGAGGUGCGAAAGCGUGGGGAGCAAACAG